rnacentral:rRNA from 1 species
UACGAAGGGUGCGAGCGUUAUUCGGAAUCACUGGGCGUAAAGAGUGCGUAGGCGGUCCAUUAAGUUUGUUGUUAAAGACUCUAGCCUAACUGGAGGGUUGCAAUGAAAACUGGUGAGCUAGAGGGUGAGAGAGAGAAGUGGAAUUCCCGGAGUAGCGGUAAAAUGCGUGGAUCUCGGGAGGAACACCAAUGGCGAAGGCAGCUUCUUGGCUCAUUCCUGACGUUGAGGCACGAAAGCGUGGGGAGCAAACAGG